rnacentral:snoRNA from 2 species
GGAUCAAAUGAUGAGUCUGAGAGACCAACAACAUGAUGGAUUCGUUCCAUGAUUCCUCGUAUUUAAGUCUCUGAUGAUC